rnacentral:rRNA from 1 species
UUGAACGCUGGCGGCAUGCUUUACACAUGCAAGUCGAACGGCAGCGGGGGCUUCGGCCUGCCGGCGAGUGGCGAACGGGUGAGUAAUGCAUCGGAACGUACCCAGUCGUGGGGGUUAACUACGCGAAAGCGUAGCUAAUACCGCAUACGCCCUGAGGGGGAAAGCGGGGGACCUUCGGGCCUCGCGCGAUUGGAGCGGCUGAUGUCGGAUUCGCUCGUUGGUGGGGUAAAGGCCUACCAAGGCGACGAUCCGUAGCUGGUCUGAGAGGAUGAUCAGCCACACUGGGACUGAGACACGGCCCAUACUCCUACGGGAGGCAGCAGUGGGGAAUUUUGGACAAUGGGCGCAAGCCUGAUCCAGCCAUGCCGCGUGAGUGAAGAAGGCCUUCGGGUUGUAAACUGCUUUUGUGUGGGAGCAAUAAGGUCUAUGCGUAGACUGAUGAGAGUACCAUACGAAUAAGCAGCGGCUAACUCCGU